AGAAAUAAACCCACCACGGAUCUUGGAUUUUAUGGGACCCAUGGCGAUCUCCAGCCCGGAAAAUAGCAAUGGGGAAAGCACUGAGUACAUCGACGCUUUUGACGAUGAUGAUGCUGGGUCAGUUAUGAAUGAGGAAUAGGAAUGGGACGCUGCCACAAUGGAGCCAGCAGAGGAUCCACAGCACUUUCCCCUGCACAGCACAACAACACACCUCACUGCAUCGUACAGGCAGACCCUGUGGAGUGAAACAUGGACUGCAGCAGCACAGCUGUGAUCGCGGAACAGGAGCAGAGCUGCACAGCACUGCCCAGCAGCAGGAUUAUUUAUUAUUGUUAAUUUGGGACUCAGCCUUGCUUUGCUGCCGAGUUACUAUUGCUGAUAACUGGCAGCGUUUGUUAUUAGUUAACAAACUUUUUGUUGCUCUGAUUUAAAUAAACAACCAGGUUACUUACAAAACCA